GAUGAACGCUGGCGGCGUGCCUAAUACAUGCAAGUCGAGCGAAUGGAUUAAGAGCUUGCUCUUAUGAAGUUAGCGGCGGACGGGUGAGUAACACGUGGGUAACCUGCCCAUAAGACUGGGAUAACUCCGGGAAACCGGGGCUAAUACCGGAUAACAUUUUGAACCGCAUGGUUCGAAAUUGAAAGGCGGCUUCGGCUGCCACUUAUGGAUGGACCCGCGUCGCAUUAGCUAGUUGGUGAGGUAACGGCUCACCAAGGCAACGAUGCGUAGCCGACCUGAGAGGGUGAUCGGCCACACUGGGACUGAGACACGGCCCAGACUCCUACGGGAGGCAGCAGUAGGGAAUCUUCCGCAAUGGACGAAAGUCUGACGGAGCAACGCCGCGUGAGUGAUGAAGGCUUUCGGGUUGUAAAACUCUGUUGUUAGGGAAGAACAAGUGCUAGUUGAAUAAGCUGACACCUUGACGGUACCUAACCAGAAAGCCACGGCUAACUACGUGCCAGCAGCCGCCGCAG
rnacentral:rRNA from 1 species